GAAAAAAAAAAACUUUAAUUUACUGUAUAUUUUAUAUAUUAAUGACCUUAUCCUUAUUAACACCACCUUCAACCACCACCCUCUAUUACUAUCGUUGGCAACUGAUUUAUGGCUACCACCGCCGGCCACCAACCUUCGGCCAUCACCAUCAGCCAUCUACCUCCGGCUACCAGCUCCGAUCACCGAUCUCUAGCUACUACUGCCAACCACCGACCUUUGGUCACCACUGCUAACCACCGACCUCCGGCCACUACCGCCAGCCACCACCGCCGGUCACAACUUGCGGCCACCACCGCCGGCCAUUACCGCCGGUCACGACCUCCGGCCACCACCGUCGGUCACCGACCUCCGGUCAUCCUUAACCACCACCUCCACCAAAUCAUCAACACUCUUACUGGUAAUUUUUACUAUCUUUUAUGAUACUUCCUCCGGUCAUCCUUAACCACCACCUCCACCAAAUCAUCAACACUCUUACCGAAAGGAAAAAAAAAUAGAUUGUAUAAACAGGAAAAAAAAUGAUGAACAACAUAUAUGGGAAAGUUUAGCGGAGAGAGGAUCGGACCAGCAAAAAGAAUGAACAUUUUUACGAGUUACACUUUUUUUUUCCAAACGACGUUGUUAUCUUUAUUAUAUAUACAAGUGUAAGUUAAUUA